rnacentral:rRNA from 1 species
CAGUGGCGAACGGGUGAGUAACACGUGAGCAACCUGCCCCUGACUCUGGGAUAAGCGCUGGAAACGGCGUCUAAUACUGGAUACGAACCACGAAGGCAUCUUCAGUGGUUGGAAAGAUUUUUUGGUUGGGGAUGGGCUCGCGGCCUAUCAGCUUGUUGGUGAGGUAAUGGCUCACCAAGGCGUCGACGGGUAGCCGGCCUGAGAGGGUGACCGGCCACACUGGGACUGAGACACGGCCCAGACUCCUACGGGAGGCAGCAGUGGGGAAUAUUGCACAAUGGGCGGAAGCCUGAUGCAGCAACGCCGCGUGAGGGAUGACGGCCUUCGGGUUGUAAACCUCUUUUAGCAGGGAAGAAGCGAAAGUGACGGUACCUGCAGAAAAAGCGCCGGCUAACUACGUGCCAGCAGCCGCGGUAAUACGUAGGGCGCAAGCGUUAUCCGGAAUUAUUGGGCGUAAAGAGCUCGUAGGCGGUUUGUCGCGUCUGCUGUGAAAUCCCGAGGCUCAACCUCGGGCCUGCAGUGGGUACGGGCAAACUAAAAGUGCGG